rnacentral:lncRNA from 12 species
GGGAGAUCUUUCCCGUGUUGUAGCACUAAUUGACAUUGUUACUCACUCAAGACUCAAGUUUGAGGAGAUGAAUGCAGAGCUGGAAGAGAAUAAAGAACUUGCUGGGAAUCGCCUUAAUGAAUUGGAGGAACUACGUCAGGAUCUUGAGGAAGUAACAACACAGAAUGAAAAGCUCAAGGCCCAGUUAAUCGGGAGAUGCGUCACCUCAUCAGCAGCCUCCAGAAUCACAACCACCAGCUGAAGGGAGAGGUGUUGAGAUACAAGCGCAAACUGAGAGAGGCCCAGUCUGACCUGAGCAAGAUCCGCUCUCGCAGUGGCAGUGCUCUCCUCCAGUCCCAGUCCAGCACUGAAGACACAAAGGAAGAACCUACAGAGAUCAAGCAGGAGCCUGAUGAUCCUUCUGCCCAAGUGUCUGUUCCCAAGGCUCCUUCUGAAGAUGUUAAUGAAAUGAAGGCCAGGCGAGAUGAAGAGGAACGGGAGCGGGAGAGACGGGAAAGGGAGAGGGAACGAGAGAAGGAAAAGGAGAAGGAGAAAGAAAGAGAACGAGAAAAAGAGAAAGAGAAGGAAAAGGAACGAGAGCGGGAAAAGCAGAAGCAGAAGGAAUCUGAGAAGGAGAGAGAGUCCAAAGAGAAGGAGAAGGGGAAGCAUGAGGAUGGAAGAAAGAAGGAGGCUGAAGUGAUCAAGCAGCUGAAGGCUGAGCUCAAGUAAGAGUUGUUUUUCACUUCCCUGUGCGAGCAGUGCCCAAGCCUGGGGUGUUCAUAUGUUCUUGCUUUCAUGGGAUCAGCAUCAUUGAAGUUUGAAGCCAAGAGAGUUUUUUGACAGCCUCUGUAUCUGAUUGUGAUGUGGACAGUGUAGGAGUGUUCUUCCUACAGUAGCCUAAGCAUGAAUUACCAAACCAGAUACCUCAUGGAAGAAGAAGGAGAAAGAGAGAGCUGUAGCAGGUUGAUCUUGGCUGGGCACCAGGUGCCCACUAAGCCACUCUAUCACUCCCUUUCCCAGUGGGACAGGGAAGAGAAUAAGAUAAAGAACAACCAGCAGGGUGAGAUUAGGCAUUAUUAUUUAGGCAUAUAUUAAGACAUAAGUGAAAGAAAGCAAGCAAGCAGUGAGAGUCUGUGCACGCACAAGUGAAGGAAAAAGAUGAGUUUACUUCCCAUCAGCGAGCGAUGCUUCCUGGGAAGCAGGGCUUCAGCAUGCAUAAUGGUUCCUCCGGGAUGGAGGAAGAACCACGUUGAAGAAUCAGA